AGUCUCACAGGCAUGGAAAGCCAUGACACGGUGGCAAAAAACAAUCUAAAUGAAAGAUCCUGGUGAACAAGACCCCAGCAGAAGGAACAGGCCAUCAAGGAGAGAGGCGCCUUUCUCUGAAGGGAGGAAGGAACCUCCACUGUGAUAUGGUCUUGACUAAACAAGUUCAGAGUCGGUGAACUCAAGGGGCUUCUAUAGCCUAGACAGCUCAUAGCAAGAGUCUCGGGUGAUUGCUGAUGUCAUAAAUAAGAGUGCCAAUUGUUAAAUCAACAACGGGAGUCACUGGGUACAUGCUCCCCACGUAGGAUCUCUGUCCUUAAUGUGUUUUACUAUGAAACUUAAAAACAACACUACUAGUCGAACAAUACCCUAUACCUUGUGCUGUUGUGUGAGUACAACCUGUUGAAAUCCUUGCUUAGUAUAUACUAAGUUGAUCUUCAGUAUAUGAAGAAUCUCCUACCACAUAGCAAUGAGGAGGGGUCUUAGCUGUGAGAGGUGAUGAUUUAAAGAGUAAAAGCAUUUCCUAAGCAUUUAAGUUUAUGCAUGAUGCAUCAGAAGGCUGGAAACCACGCUCCACCUAAAGACAAGAAGACCUGACAUCUAUGGAGAGACAAUCACUUUAAAUCCUGUCCGCCAGAUGGCGCUAGCAGCGCGCUCUUCACGGCCGCCAUGUAAACGCCUUGGCUCCUCUGCGGUGAAAUAAACCCACGCGGUAUUUCUUAACUAG